CACAAAUACUAUUUUCACACUACUGAGCCGAACGAAGUGGGGCCGAGCUGAACAGUGCUGUCCUCGUUACGCAUCCACCAUAGUUGCUGGAAUCAUGAACGGUGUGAAAAGAAAACAUCAGAGCCAGCACAGUGCAGUUUGGGUUGAAUCGAUAGUGUGAAAAUAGUCAUAGAGUACUGUAUGUAUGCAUCAUGGAUAUAUUGCUUGCUAGUGGAGUGUCUCACAGUAAAACAACCAGAAAUGAAAAUAACAGAAAUCAUGAAUCAAACCAAACCAACCAUCAAAUCAACAAAAAAUAACCACAGCUUUGACCCUAGGCAGUGCUGUACCCAGAAUAGAGAGUGACUGGAUGGAGGUGGGUCAUGUUCAGCACAAAACAGAGGAAAACGGACUUAAAUGGAGUGAAACGGGAAGGCACUACCUGACCACCAGACAGGUGGUACACUUCAUGCCCACCAUGGCCACCAGGAUCGCAAUGCCAGCCAACAGGAUGGCACCCACCAUGAGACCUCGUGUGCCCUGCACCAUCCCUGGGAACAAGAGAAAGGCCAGAAGACACAAUCAAUCAAUCAUAGAAUUUCAUAUUUGAGCUUUAAUGAUUAUGUCAUUACUAUGCCAUUACAUGUUAUUACAUACGUCAUAGGGCCUACAUAUAGCCUAGCUCCUGAAUAACGUCAGAUUGCCUAGAGAAUAUUAUAUUCUCAAUGUAUUCAGAGUUAAUAAAAUUAUAAUAGAAAGGGGAUAAUUGGGCAGGAAUGCAAAUGUAUUAUAGCUUUCAUCACCUUGAAUGUAAAAAAAAAUGCAAGUUCAAUUGAUGAGGAAAAUGCUGAAUGUAUAUUAUAAACUGGGUGGUUCCAGCCGUGAAUGCUGAUAGGCUGAAAGCCAUGGUAUAUCAGACUGUAAACCACGGGUAUGACAAAACAUGUAUUUUUACUGCUUUAAUGAAGUUGGUAACCAGUUUAUAAUAGCAAUAAGGCACCUCUGGUGUUUGUGGUAUAUUGCCAAUAUACCACGGCUAAGAAAUGUAUCCAGGCGUUCCGUGUUGUGUUGUGCAUAAAAACAGCCCUUAGCCGUGGUAUAUUGGCAAUAUACUACACUGCAUUAUUGCUUUAUUAAAACAUUCUUCAAACA